UACGGAGGAGGCAAGCGUUAUCCGGAAUUAUUGGGCGUAAAGCGUCCGUAGGUGGUUGACCAAGUCUGCUGUCAAAGGGUGGGGCUUAACCUCAUAAAGGCAGUGGAAACUGGUGAGCUAGAGUGCGGUAGGGGUAAGGGGAAUUCCCAGUGUAGCGGUGAAAUGCGUGGAGAUUGGGAAGAAAAUCGGUGGCGAAAGCGCCUUGCUGGGCCUGCACUGACACUGAGGGACGCAAGCUAGGGGAGUGAAAGGG
rnacentral:rRNA from 1 species